UACGUAGGGACCGAGCGUUGUCCGGAUUCAUUGGGCGUAAAGGGCUCGUAGGCGGCCAACUAAGUCGGACGUGAAAUCCCCAGGCUCAACCUGGGAACUGCGUCCGAUACUGGAUGGCUUGAAUUCGGGAGAGGGAUGCAGAAUUCCAGGUGUAGCGGUGAAAUGCGUAGAUAUCUGGAGGAAUACCGGUGGCGAAGGCGGCAUCCUGGACCGACAUUGACGCUGAGGAGCGAAAGCUAGGGGAGCAAACGGGG
rnacentral:rRNA from 1 species